rnacentral:lncRNA from 1 species
CUGAAACCUAACAUUUUUUUGACAAAAAAGAAAGGGUUUCCUCUUUUGGCUUUCGGACAUGCCAAUCGAUCACCACCGCACCACCACUAUGUCUGGUGGUCGGCCAUGUGCGAAGAGAGCUCCUUACCCACUCAAACCACGCUCAAAGGCUUAACCAUUUUUAGUAUUAGGGAAGAAAAAUCAAAAAGAGGAGACUCAACCCUUUUUUAAAUCGAUUUCGGAGAAGACGAGGCUCUAACGAUGAACCCAUAGGUGAGUACCUUCCCUCCUUUUGUCUUUUACAUGCAAUGAAUAAAGAUUGAGGAAAUGGAAACGAAAAUAAAAGAAGAACGAGAUCUAAAAUCACCUUAAAAACUAAUUUCGAAUUGAUUUCUCUUCUUUCAAUAUGCAUGUGUUCGUUUUUUUCCUUUCCAUAUACAAUCGGCCCCCUUUUUUAUAGCCGAAUACAGGUAAAAAUAAAUAAAUACAAAUUUCUUUUAUUCUUUCUGCAAUCUGCUGUUGCUUUGCUGUUGUAGUUGUUAGUUUGUUGCAGGUGUGUCCAACUAGAGGACCAACGUGGAGGUCAUGGAGGCGCGAAGAAAGCCGUGCGUGGUAGCUGCGGCGCAAACUGCUUUAAGAAACCCUUAGGGUUGCUGGAAUUUUGGGUUAUUGGCUUGGGCCAUUUGGGCCGGUUACGGAGUUGGGGCACUAUAAUUUGGUCUAUUUGGGGUUUUGGGUGUUAUGGGAUUUUGGGUUUUAAUUUGGGUCUGGUAUAUUUCUGGGUUAAAUCUAUUAUUGGGCUUGUAAAAAAUGGACUAAUUUGGUAUUUUGAAAUGCUGUUAUAAAUGGACAUUGGACCUUUAAAUAAUCUAGUUUAUUAUAUUUUUGGUUUUAAUUUGUGUAUGAGCCAGGGCGAAAUGAGCUUUUUACACAAACAUUCAAUUUAGAUGACAUUAAAAUGAUUACUGUUUAUACGAAUUUACCUUGAUAGUUAGGGCAUGGUAAAAUAAUUGAACUAAUCUGAAGCUUUACAGCAUGUUUGGUUACUAAUCUGAAGCUUUACAGCAUGUUUGGUUGGCUGUAAUAGAAUAGGACUAUAAUUGAAUAGAGUUGUAAUGGAAUAGAGCUGUAAUAAGUAAUUCAACUGUUUAGUUGAAUGGAAUGGAAUAGAAUUGUAAUAGUAUUCUUGUAUUUGGUUGAAUGGAAUGAUAUUA